GAUGAACGCUAGCGGCAGGCUUAACACAUGCAAGUCGAACGAAGCCUUCGGGCUUAGUGGCGGACGGGUGAGUAACACGUGGGAUCGUACCUUUUGGUUCGGAAUAACGCAGAGAAAUUUGCGCUAAUACCGAAUGAGCCCUUAGGGGGAAAGAUUUAUCGCCGAAAGAUCGGCCCGCGUUGGAUUAGGUAGUUGGUGUGGUAAAGGCGCACCAAGCCUACGAUCCAUAGCUGGUCUGAGAGGAUGAUCAGCCACACUGGGACUGAGACACGGCCCAGAGUCCUACGGGAGGCAGCAGUGGGGAAUCUUGCGCAAUGGGCGAAAGCCUGACGCAGCCAUGCCGCGUGAAUGAUGAAGGUCUUAGGAUUGUAAAAUUCUUUUACCAGGGACGAUAAUGACGGUACCUGGAGAAAAAGCCCCGGCUAACUUCGUGCCAGCCGCCGCGGUAACAC
rnacentral:rRNA from 1 species